CCACGCCAUGCCACAUAAAAGGGGGCAGGCCCCUCAAGGAUUUGGCACCCAAUUCCUGCCAAAAGAGAAGGAAGGUGCUAUCCAAUCUUCCAUCUAUUCCACAUGCGCACUUAGAGAUAAUUAGGAGAUAAAAAGAGAUAAUGUUAGGAUAAUUAAGCCAACUAAUUGACUUAAUCAAAUCUUCUUAGGCUUAUAAUUAAGAGUUCAAUUGAACUCAACUAGAU
rnacentral:lncRNA from 1 species